rnacentral:rRNA from 1 species
GGGUGAGCAACACGUAUCCAACCUGCCCUUUACUCGGGGAUAGCCUUUCGAAAGAAAGAUUAAUACCCGAUAGCAUAAUGAUUCCGCAUGGUUUCAUUAUUAAAGGAUUCCGGUAAAGGAUGGGGAUGCGUUCCAUUAGGUUGUUGGUGAGGUAACGGCCCACCAAGCCUUCGAUGGAUAGGGGUUCUGAGAGGAAGGUCCCCCACAUUGGAACUGAGACACGGUCCAAACUCCUACGGGAGGCAGCAGUGAGGAAUAUUGGUCAAUGGGCGUUAGCCUGAACCAGCCAAGUAGCGUGAAGGAUGAAGGCUCUAUGGGUCGUAAACUUCUUUUAUAUAAGAAUAAAGUGCAGUAUGUAUACUGUUUUGUAUGUAUUAUAUGAAUAAGGAUCGGCUAACUCCGUGCCAGCAGCCGCGGUAAUACGGAGGAUCCGAGCGUUAUCCGGAUUUAUUGGGUUUAAAGGGAGCGUAGGUGGACUGGUAAGUCAGUUGUGAAAGUUUGCGGCUCAACCGUAAAAUUGCAGUUGAUACUGUCAGUCUUGAGUACAGUAGAGGUGGGCGGAAUUCGUGGUGUAGCGGUGAAAUGCUUAGAUAUCACGAAGAACUCCGAU